rnacentral:lncRNA from 1 species
UAAAUUUAAAACAAGUUAAAAAAGAUUUUAAAAAAUUAAAAAAAUAAUUAAAAACAUAUUAAAAAAAAUAAAAAAAAAGCAAAAAAAAAUAAAAUAAAAUAAUGAAAAUAGGAGUAGGCGUCACUCCUAGUGGCGACUUGCCCUCCAAUUAAGGGUAGGCGCCAUCUAGGGUGGCGCCCAUGUACAAAUUAGGGCACAAAUGUAUCCAUUUUUGCAAUUUUUUUGAAAUAAAGGUUAUUUUUGUAAAUUUUUUUAAAAAAUUGUUUAUUUAAAAAAAAAUUCUCUAAGUUUAACAUCACGCCACGCAUGCGGUUGAUUAAAGACUCACUUGUAUAAAACAAGUUGGGAGAUAAGUCCAAUUAAGUCUUAAA